rnacentral:rRNA from 1 species
GUGUCAGCAGCCGCGGUAAUACGUAGGUGGCGAGCGUUGUCCGGAUUUACUGGGCGUAAAGGGUGCGUAGGCGGAUGUUUAAGUGGGAUGUGAAAUCCCCGGGCUUAACCUGGGGGCUGCAUUCCAAACUGGAUAUCUAGAGUGCAGGAGAGGAAAGCGGAAUUCCUAGUGUAGCGGUGAAAUGCGUAGAGAUUAGGAAGAACACCAGUGGCGAAGGCGGCUUUCUGGACUGUAACUAACGCUGAGGCACGAAAGCGUGGGUAGCAAACAGGAUUAGAAACCCGCGUAGUCC